ACCAGGUGUCCCCUGGAGUUCCUCUGAACGCUUCACUGAGGCUCUGUUAUGGCAGAUGAGUUCACUGAAGUGUUUGGAGGAACUCUGGGUGUGGCUUGGU
rnacentral:pre_miRNA from 1 species